rnacentral:rRNA from 1 species
AUACGUAGGGGGCGAGCGUUGUCCGGAAUUACUGGGCGUAAAGGGUGCGUAGGUGGCACUUUAAGUUGGAUGUGAAAUCCCCGUGCUUAACAUGGGAGCUGCAUCCAAUACUGGAGAGCUAGAGUGCAGGAGAGGUAAGCGGAAUUCCUAGUGUAGCGGUGAAAUGCGUAGAUAUUAGGAGGAACACCAGUGGCGAAGGCGGCUUACUGGACUGUAACUGACACUGAGGCACGAAAGCGUGGGGAGCAAACAGGAUUAGAUACCCUGGUAGUCCACGCUGUAAACGAUGAAUACUAGGUGUAGGAGGUAUCGACCCCUUCUGUGCCGCAGCUAACGCAAUAAGUAUUCCGCCUGGGGAGUACGGCCGCAAGGUUGAAACUCAAAUGAAUUGACGGGG